rnacentral:rRNA from 1 species
UACAGAGGGUGCAAGCGUUGUUCGGAAUUAUUGGGCGUAAAGCGCGUGUAGGCGGCUUGUUAAGUCGGGUGUGAAAGCCCUCAGCUCAACUGAGGAAGUGCACCCGAAACUGGCGAGCUUGAGUGUCGGAGAGGAUGGCGGAAUACCCCAAGUAGAGGUGAAAUUCGUAGAUAUGGGGUGGAACACCGGUGGCGAAGGCGGCCAUCUGGACGACAACUGACGCUGAGACGCGAAAGCGUGGGGAGCAAACAGG